rnacentral:rRNA from 1 species
UACGUAGGGGGCAAGCGUUGUCCGGAUUUAUUGGGCGUAAAGAGCGUGUAGGCGGCCAGGUAGGUCGGUUGUGAAAACUCGAGGCUCAACCUCGAGAUGUCGACCGAAACCAUCUGGCUAGAGUCCGGAAGAGGAGAAUGGAAUUCCCGGUGUAGCGGUGAAAUGCGCAGAUAUCGGGAAGAACACCCGUGGCGAAGGCGGUUCUCUGGGCCGAUACUGACGCUGAGGAGCGAAAGCGUGGGGAGCGAACAGG